rnacentral:rRNA from 1 species
UACAGAGGUCCCAAGCGUUGUUCGGAUUUACUGGGCGUAAAGGGUGCGCAGGCGGUCGGAUAAGUCGGGUGUGAAAUCCCAAGGCUCAACCUUGGAACUGCGCUCGAAACUGUCUGGCUUGAGGAUUGGAGAGGAGACUGGAAUUCAUGGUGUAGCGGUGAAAUGCGUAGAUAUCAUGAGGAACACCAAUGGCGAAGGCAGGUCUCUGGACAAUUUCUGACGCUCAUGCACGAAAGCCAGGGGAGCAAACGGG